rnacentral:rRNA from 1 species
CAACCAUGUGACCAUACCAAACUGUUGCCUCGGCGGGGUCACGCCCCGGGUGCGUCGCAGCCCCGGAACCAGGCGCCCGCCGGAGGGACCAACCAAACUCUUUCUGUAGUCCCCUCGCGGACGUUAUUUCUUACAGCUCUGAGCAAAAAUUCAAAAUGAAUCAAAACUUUCAACAACGGAUCUCUUGGUUCUGGCAUCGAUGAAGAACGCAGCGAAAUGCGAUAAGUAAUGUGAAUUGCAGAAUUCAGUGAAUCAUCGAAUCUUUGAACGCACAUUGCGCCCGCCAGUAUUCUGGCGGGCAUGCCUGUCCGAGCGUCAUUUCAACCCUCGAACCCCUCCGGGGGUCCGGCGUUGGGGAUCGGGAACCCCUAAGACGGGAUCCCGGCCCCGAAAUACAGUGGCGGUCUCGCCGCAGCCUCUCAUGCGCAGUAGUUUGCACAACUCGCACCGGGAGCGCGGCGCGUCCACGUCCGUAAAACACCCAACUUCUGAAAUGUUGACCUCGGAUCAGGUAGGAAUACCCGCUGAACUUAAGCAUAUCAAUAA